GACGAACGCUGGCGGCGUGCUUAACACAUGCAAGUCGAACGAAGUGGCGAACGGGUGAGUAACGCGUAAUCAACCUGCCCUUCAGAGGGGGACAACAGUUGGAAACGACUGCUAAUACCGCAUACUGAAGGAGGGGCUUGCGUCUGAUUAGCUAGUUGGAGGGGUAACGGCCCACCAAGGCGCAGAUCAGUAGCCGGUCUGGGAGGAUGAACGGGCACAUUGGGACUGGGACACGGGCCAGACUCCUAAGGGAGGCAGCAGUGGGGGAUCUUCCGCAAUGGACGAAAGGCUGACGGAGCAACUCCGCGGGAGUGAUGACGGCCUUCGGGUUGUAAAGCUCUGUUAAUCGGGGCGCGGUACCGGAAGAGAAAGCCACGGCUAACUACGUGCCAGCAGCCGCGGUAAUAC
rnacentral:rRNA from 1 species